rnacentral:rRNA from 1 species
UACGUAGGGUGCAAGCGUUGUCCGGAAUUAUUGGGCGUAAAGAGCUCGUAGGCGGUUUGUCGCGUCUGCUGUGAAAACUGGAGGCUCAACCUCCAGCCUGCAGUGGGUACGGGCAGACUAGAGUGCGGUAGGGGAGAUUGGAAUUCCUGGUGUAGCGGUGGAAUGCGCAGAUAUCAGGAGGAACACCGAUGGCGAAGGCAGGUCACUGGGCCGCAACUGACGCUGAGGAGCGAAAGCAUGGGGAGCGAACAGG